AUUGAACGCUGGCGGCAGGCCUAACACAUGCAAGUCGAACGGUCACAGGAAGCAGCUUGCUGCUUUGCUGACGAGUGGCGGACGGGUGGGUCAUGUCUGGGAAACUGCCUGAUGGAGGGGGAUAUCUACUGGCAACGGUAGCUAAUACCGCAUAACUUCCCAAGACCAAAGAGGGGGACCUUAGGGCCUCUUGCCAUCGGAUGUGCGCCGAUGGGAUGGGCUAGUAGGUGGGGGAACGGCUCACCUAGGCGCCGAUCCAUAGCUGGUCUGAGAGGCUGACCAGCCACACUGGAAGUGAGACAGGGCCCAGACACCGAGGGGAAGAAGCAGUGGGGAAUAUUGCGCAAUGGGGGCAAGGCUGAUGCAGCAAAGCCGCGGGUAUGAAGAAGGAGUUAGGGUGGGAAAGUACUUAAGGCGGGGAGGAAGGGAGUAAAGUUAAGACGGGAACAUAUUGACGUUACCAGCAGAAGAAGCACCGGCUAACUCCGUG
rnacentral:rRNA from 1 species